UACGAAGGCAGCAGUGGGGAAUAUUGCACAAUGGGCGCAAGCCUGAUGCAGCCAUGCCGCGUGUAUGAAGAAGGCCUUCGGGUUGUAAAGUACUUUCAGUCGUGAGGAAGGUGUUAAGGUUAAUAACCUUAGCAAUUGACGUUAGCGACAGAAGAAGCACCGGCUAACUCCGUGCCAGCAGCCGCGGUAAUACGGAGGGUGCGAGCGUUAAUCGGAAUUACUGGGCGUAAAGGGCACGCAGGCGGUUAAUUAAGUUGGAUGUGAAAUCCCCGGGCUUAACCUGGGAAUGGCAUUCAAGACUGGUUAGCUAGAGUCUUGUAGAGGGGGUUAGAAUUCCAUGUGUAGCGGUGAAAUGCGUAGAGAUGUGGAGGAAUACCGGUGGCGAAGGCGGCCCCUGGACAAAGACUGACGCUCAUGUGCGAAAGCGUGGGGAGCAAACAGGGAUUAGAUACC
rnacentral:rRNA from 1 species